CCCAGGUGAGGGGGAACAAUGGAGUCUGGUCAAGUUAUCUUGGAGUGAGUCUGCAAAUUCUUGUGAGACAGAAUUGCAGGGGGCUUGUUCUCACCAGGGUUUUGUUGCCCUUGAAGGUGCUGUAGAUCAGAGCUUCCCAGAGCAACAGUACAAGGAUUUUCUCUUCUCCAUGCCCUUGAAAAGCUGCACCCCCUGAAGUUCUUCCUCCCACACAGCUAUAAAAACCACCAGAGCCCUGCCCAAAAGAAGAAAAAGCAACGUAUCUAUGGCAGGAAGUAGCUUUGCCAGUAACUUACCUAUUUCCUGCUAGGUGCUUUAGCAGCUGCAUGAAGAGGAGAAAUCCAACAGUGGCAGCUUUUCACAGCAUGGACAUUAAAUAAUUGGCUAGCUGUGCUGACUGGAUAUCUACUAGUCAUGCACCUGUUAAGAGGCAGAAGAGUCCUGGCAGGAUAAGAAGGAAGAUGCAUCCCCCACUGGAAAUUGUUUAGUUGUUAGCAGGAGAUCCCCUUGAGCUCAAUGAGGAAAGCAAUGGAGGAAGAUGAGUCAAGCCAUUUUAAUUCCACUGCUGGCACUCAAUGAUUUGUCUGCAUGUCAUAAGAUAUACCCAGAUGCCUCUUCAUUUUCACUGCAGAUAGAAUCUAGCUCAGUUAAGAACAAAAAACAAACAAAGAGACGACCCUAUUGCCACGUACAGCAGGAUUGGACUUAAGUUCCUUUUCGGCAGCACAAUGGAUGCGUCUGAAACCUGCUGAGAUUUCUCAAGCUAAUUUUUCAUUAAAUAAAUAAUGGCAAUGACA